GGGAAACGAUGUGGGAAGGCCCAGACAGCCAGGAUGUUGGCUUAGAAGCAGCCAUCAUUUAAAGAAAGCGUAAUAGCUCACUGGUCGAGUCGGCCUGCGCGGAAGAUGUAACGGGGCUAAACCAUGCACCGAAGCUGCGGCAGCGACACUGUGUGUUGUUGGGUAGGGGAGCGUUCUGUAAGCCUGUGAAGGUGUGUCGUGAGGCAUGCUGGAGGUAUCAGAAGUGCGAAUGCUGACAUAAGUAACGAUAAAGCGGGUGAAAAGCCCGCUCGCCGGAAGACCAAGGGUUCCUGUCCAACGUUAAUCGGGGCAGGGUGAGUCGACCCCUAAGGCGAGGCCGAAAGGCGUAGUCGAUGGGAAACGGGUUAAUAUUCCCGUACUUGGUGUUACUGCGAAGGGGGGACGGAGAAGGCUAUGUUGGCCGGGCGACGGUUGUCCCGGUUUAAGCGUGUAGGUGUGUGUUCCAGGUAAAUCCGGUUCACUUUAACACUGAGGCGUGACGACGAGGCACUACGGUGCUGAAGCAACAAAUGCCCUGCUUCCAGGAAAAGCCUCUAAGCAUCAGGUAACAUCAAAUCGUACCCCAAACCGACACAGGUGGUCAGGUAGAGAAUACCAAGGCGCUUGAGAGAACUCGGGUGAAGGAACUAGGCAAAAUGGUGCCGUAACUUCGGGAGAAGGCACGCUGACACGUAGGUGAAGUGAUUUACUCAUGGAGCUGAAGUCAGUCGAAGAUACCAGCUGGCUGCAACUGUUUAUUAAAAACACAGCACUGUGCAAACACGAAAGUGGACGUAUACGGUGUGACGCCUGCCCGGUGCCGGAAGGUUAAUUGAUGGGGUCAGCGCAAGCGAAGCUCCUGAUCGAAGCCCCGGUAAACGGCGGCCGUAACUAUAACGGUCCUAAGGUAGCGAAAUUCCUUGUCGGGUAAGUUCCGACCUGCACGAAUGGCGUAAUGAUGGCCAGGCUGUCUCCACCCGAGACUCAGUGAAAUUGAACUCGCUGUGAAGAUGCAGUGUACCCGCGGCAAGACGGAAAGACCCCGUGAACCUUUACUAUAGCUUGACACUGAACAUUGAGCCUUGAUGUGUAGGAUAGGUGGGAGGCUUUGAAGUGUGGACGCCAGUCUGCAUGGAGCCGACCUUGAAAUACCACCCUUUAAUGUUUGAUGUUCUAACGUGGACCCGUUACCCGGGUUGCGGACAGUGUCUGGUGGGUAGUUUGACUGGGGCGGUCUCCUCCUAAAGAGUAACGGAGGAGCACGAAGGUUGGCUAAUCCUGGUCGGACAUCAGGAGGUUAGUGCAAUGGCAUAAGCCAGCUUGACUGCGAGCGUGACGGCGCGAGCAGGUGCGAAAGCAGGUCAUAGUGAUCCGGUGGUUCUGAAUGGAAGGGCCAUCGCUCAACGGAUAAAAGGUACUCCGGGGAUAACAGGCUGAUACCGCCCAAGAGUUCAUAUCGACGGCGGUGUUUGGCACCUCGAUGUCGGCUCAUCACAUCCUGGGGCUGAAGUAGGUCCCAAGGGUAUGGCUGUUCGCCAUUUAAAGUGGUACGCGAGCUGGGUUUAGAACGUCGUGAGACAGUUCGGUCCCUAUCUGCCGUGGGCGCUGGAGAACUGAGGGGGGCUGCUCCUAGUACGAGAGGACCGGAGUGGACGCAUCACUGGUGUUCGGGUUGUCAUGCCAAUGGCACUGCCCGGUAGCUAAAUGCGGAAGAGAUAAGUGCUGAAAGCAUCUAAGCACGAAACUUGCCCCGA
rnacentral:rRNA from 2 species